CGUGUGCGAGUGUUGUCUACAGUGGAUACUAAAUGCGCGUGUGAUGUGUAUUACAUGCAAAGAAGCCGCUUGGUCACAUGACGUUCUCACGUGACCGCUGAAGCUGUGAAUUUGUGUGUGUUGACUCUGGCGUGGCAUUUCUCGAGCAGCCAUUAUCUGACAAUGUUGUCUGUGAUUUUAUAUUCACGGUUAUUUCUGUUGCGCGCACACACGGAAUUUGAGGGACAAAUAAUUUUGAGAGUGCAGGAUGGGGAGAGGUGAAAGGAGGAUAAGACUGAUGAAGAGCGAACAGGAAUUUUUGUCUAGGAGCAACCUGUCAAAUCACAGCGUCGCCUAUCGUCACAGCACACGACGCUCCCUGGUGGGACCAUGACUCUCUUUAACAAGCUUAGCGCACCCCGGUGCGACCAUGGCUCUCUAUAUCAAGCUUAGCGCCCCUGGUGAGACCGCACCAUUCUAUAUGAAGCCAGAAUCCCGAGAUGUAGUGCGAGGAUCUCUUCUACACCCUGGUCACUCCUACUCAUUAU